rnacentral:rRNA from 1 species
UACGUAGGGACCAAGCGUUGUUCGGAUUUACUGGGCGUAAAGGGCGCGUAGGCGGCAAUUCAAGUCAUCUGUGAAAUCUCCGGGCUUAACUCGGAGCCUGCAGGCGAAACUGUGGUGCUGGAGUGUGGGAGAGGUGCGUGGAAUUCCCGGUGUAGCGGUGAAAUGCGUAGAUAUCGGGAGAAACACCUGUGGCGAAAGCGGCGCACUGGACCAUAACUGACGCUGAUGCGCGAAAGCUAGGGGAGCAAACAGG